rnacentral:rRNA from 1 species
CCAAGGUAGCAUAAUAAAUAGUCUCUUAAUUGGUGACUUGUAUGAAUGAUUGGAUGAAAUAUAAACUGUCUCUUUAUUAAUAAAAUAACUUAAUUUUUUAAUUAAAAAGUUAAAAUGAUUUUAAAAGACGAGAAGACCCCAUAGAGUUUUAUAGAUAAUAAUUAAUUAAAGUUUUAUAUAAAUUUAUGAAUUAAAAUUAUUUUUUCUAUUAUGUUGGGGUGAUAAAAAAAUUAAAUUAACUUUUUUUUAAAAAGUUAACAUAAAUAAAUGAAAUUAAUGAUCCAAAAUUUUUGAUUAAAAGAUUAAAUUACCUUGGGGAUAACAGCGUAAUUUUUUUUUUUAGUUCAAAUAAGAAAAAGAGUUUGCGACCUCGAUGUUGGAUUAAGAUAAAAUUU